rnacentral:lncRNA from 1 species
AUGCAGUUAAUGGAUCCCAGCCAGAUGAACUUUUCAGGUACCUGUGGAGAGAUUCAAGUGCAAUCGCUGAUUUUCUGGCAAAGAGAGAAAUCACACCUCAAAAUAGACAAAACAAAGUUUAUCACUCUAAAUAUACGACAGAAAACAACUGAAGAAUUUUGGAAUAACAUCUCAUACCUCACCCUUUUAUGGUGUUUUCAUGGGGCCUGCCUAGCACACAAGUCAAAAAUGGAUGCUGCUUUCUCACUAAGGUGUGGUUGGCCAUGCCCCUACCUCAUGUAGCCAGAAGCCAUCUUAGAGAAGAGGACUCAGGACAUCAAGUAUUUACCUCAAGGUACUGUUUUGACUAUUGCUCCAAGCCAAAUUAAUCGAUUGGACUGAAAUAUCGUUUUUCCCUGCGACCCAUCAGAUAGAGUGUCAUGAAUGAUUGGAUUAUAGAUUUGAUUGUAUUUCUCAAUUA